CCGAGCCCUGGCGGACACCGCAGGCUUUGCCAGCACGGGCGGCGCCUUCACUGGGCUCGCUGCGGGCGAGUCACAAUCGCUAUCCGGCGAACAAGCUGGUCACCUCGGCACAAAAUGCAGGCAACCUGUGAGUGAUGAGAGGGCACAGAGGCAUUUGGAGCAACUACUGGGUUCCUCCCAGGAUGCCAUCUGCCAUGUUGCAGUCACUGUGGAGACAAGAAAAGACACCAGUCCCUCAGCUUAUCUACUGCUGCUUCUAUAUACUGGAUAACUUACCAGAGACAUGAGCAGACAUAGCUCAUGUCUUGUGUUCCCCUUCUUGUCCCAUACCCAUGUUUCUCGCCCUCACUUCAUCCUCUUCCCCACUUCCUGUGAUCUGUCCACUUGCCUUUCCAGUCCCUCUUGUUAACACAAAAACUUCACUAAGUCCCCUUUUUAUUUUAAUAAAGGGCAAAACUCAAAGGCUGGUCCAAUUAAAUAAAUGCUCUUAGAUGAAGCUUUAUUUAUUAUUUCAAGUGGCAGCUUGAUGUGUAUUUCUGGACAACAGCACUGCCUAGAUUGGUAAGUAUUUUCAACUGAUCAGUACCUUGACCCCUUUUUUAUUAACCUGGCAAAGCAAACUUACCCUUGAACCAUACACAGGCCAAGUUUUGAUCUUCUAGAGUAAAGC